rnacentral:rRNA from 1 species
UACGUAGGGUGCAAGCGUUGUCCGGAAUUAUUGGGCGUAAAGAGCUCGUAGGCGGCUUGUCGCGUCGGCUGUGAAAACCUGGGGCUCAACCCCGGGCCUGCAGCCGAUACGGGCAAGCUAGAAUUCGGUAGGGGAGACUGGAAUUCCUGGUGUAGCGGUGAAAUGCGCAGAUAUCAGGAGGAACACCUGAGGUGAAGACGGGUUGCUGGGCUGACACUGACGCUGAGGCGCGAAAGCUAGGGUAGCAAACGGG